rnacentral:piRNA from 1 species
UUCAGUAGGAGGAAAGCAGGUUAGCUGU